rnacentral:tRNA from 8 species
GGACGGUUAGCUCAGCUGGGAGAGCACCUGCCUUACAAGCAGGGGGUCGGCGGUUCGAUCCCGUCACCGUCCACCA